AACCUUUACACUGCACGCCAGUGCGAUAGGGGGACACCGAGUGCGAGGGCAUAGAGCCCUCGCUUUUGUAGACCGUAAGGAGGUCUACGAAUAAGGGCUGGGCAAGACCGGUGCCAGCCGCCGCGGUAACACCGGCAGCCCGAGUGAUGGCCGAUAUUAUUGGGCCUAAAGCGUCCGUAGCUGGCCGCACAAGUCCGUCGGGAAAUCCACUCGCUUAACGAGUGGGCGUCCGGCGGAAACUGUGCGGCUUGGGACCGGAAGAUCCGAGGGGUACGUCCGGGGUAGGAGUGAAAUCCCGUAAUCCUGGACGGACCACCGAUGGCGAAAGCACCUCGGAAGGACGGAUCCGACAGUGAGGGACGAAAGCUAGGGUCUCGAACCGGAUUAGAUACCCGGGUAGUCCUAGCCGUAAACGAUGCUCGCUAGGUGUGGCACAGGCUACGAGCCUGUGCUGUGCCGUAGGGAAGCCGUGAAGCGAGCCGCCUGGGAAGUACGUCUGCAAGGAUGAAACUUAA
rnacentral:rRNA from 1 species